ACCGUGAUGCGUGCAUCGCGGGGUUCGGACUGCAGAAGGGAUUCAGCAACGACAGGAGAACGGCUUUGGAACAGCCGGCCAGAGAGGGUGAGAGCCCCGUAUCCAAAGUCAGAGCUGACCUGGCAGGAUCCAGAGUACCACGGGACACGGGAAACCCUGUGGGAAGGAGCGGAGACCACUCCGUAAGGCUAAAUACUACUCAGUGACCGAUAGCGUAUAGUACUGUGAAGGAAAGGUGAAAAGAACCCCGGGAGGGGAGUGAAAGAGAACCUGAAACCCUGUGUCUACAAGCUGUGGAAGUACUUCUCAGGUACGACCGCGUACUUUUUGUAGAACGGUCCGGCGAGCUGCGGGUACUGGCAAGGUUAAGUACUUAAGGUACGGAGCCGUAGGGAAACCAAGUCUUAAUAGGGCGAAUCAGUCAGUACGUGCAGGCCCGAAACCGGGUGACCUAUCCAUGUCCAGGUUGAAGCCGCCGUAAAAGGCGAUGGAGGACCGAACCCACAUCCGUUGAAAAGGGUGGGGAUGAGGUGUGGAUAGCGGAGAAAUUCCAAUCGAACCCGGAGAUAGCUGGUUCUCCUCGAAAUAGCUUUAGGGCUAGCCUCAUACAAGUCUGCCGGAGGUAGAGCACUGAAUUUCCGCGGGGGCGUCAAAGCCUACCAAAGAAUAUCAAACUCCGAAUGCCGGACAGAUGGUGUAUGGGAGUCAGACUGUACGAGAUAAGUUGGACAGUCAAAAGGGAAAGAGCCCAGACCGCCGGCUAAGGUCCCAAAGUGGGUGUUAAGUGGAAAAGGAUGUGGGAUCUCUAAGACAACCAGGAUGUUGGCUCAGAAGCAGCCAUUCAUUAAAAGAGUGCGUAACAGCUCACUGGUCGAGAGGUCCUGCGCCGAAAAUGUCCGGGGCUGAAACACCACACCGAAGCCGCGGAACUCGUAAGAGUUGGUAGAGGAGCAUUCUUAGGGGAGGGAAGCAUUACCGGAAGGGGAUGUGGACUGCUAAGAAGAGAGAAUGCCGGAAUGAGUAGCGAGAGCAAGGUGGGAAUCCUUGCGGCCGAAUAUCCAAGGUUUCCAGAGUAAAGCUGAUCUGCUCUGGGUAAGUCGGGGCCUAAGGAGAGGCAGAGAUGCGUAUCCGAUGGACAGCAGGUAAAAGAUUCCUGCACCCCUUGUUAUCAGAACUGCGGGGACACGGGAAGGGAAGCAGAGCCGGGAAUGGAAAGCCCGGUGCAAGCGAAGUAGUCGCAGGAUUGGAAAAUCCGUCCUGCAUAAGACGAAGGCGUGAUGCGGAGCGAAACAAAGUAGCGAAGCUGCGGCCCCUUCCUGUCGAGAAAAGCCGCUAUCGUGUAGCAAGGGCCCGUACCGUAAACCGACACAGGUGGAUGAGGAGAGGAUCCUAAGGCCGGCGGGAGAAGUGUUGUUAAGGAACUCGGCAAAAUGACUCCGUAACUUCGGGAGAAGGAGUGCUGCGCAAGCAGCCGCAGAGAAAUGGCCCAAGCAACUGUUUAGCAAAAACACAGGUCUAUGCGAAACCGAAAGGUGAGGUAUAUGGGCUGACGCCUGCCCGGUGCUGGAAGGUUAAGGGGAGAGGUUAGCGCAAGCGAAGCUUUGAACUUAAGCCCCAGUAAACGGCGGCCGUAACUAUAACGGUCCUAAGGUAGCGAAAUUCCUUGUCGGGUAAGUUCCGACCCGCACGAAAGGCGUAAUGAUUUGGGCACUGUCUCAACAACACACCCGGUGAAAUUGAAAUACCAGUGAAGAUGCUGGUUACCCGCGCCAGGACGGAAAGACCCCAUGGAGCUUUACUCCAGCCUGAUACUGGGAUUCGGUAUUGCAUGUACAGGAUAGGUGGGAGGCUAAGAACUUAUGGCGCCAGCCGUAAGGGAGCCAUUGUUGGGAUACCACCCCUGCAGUACUGGGUUUCUAACCUGCGCCCGUGACCCGGGCGGGGGACAAUGUCAGGCGGGGAGUUUGACUGGGGCGGUCGCCUCCGAAAGGGUAUCGGAGGCGCUCAAAGGUCUCCUCAGGAUGGUUGGAAACCAUCCAGAGAGUGCAAAGGCAGAAGGAGGCUUGACUGCGACACCGACGGGUGGAGCAGGUACGAAAGUAGGACUUAGUGAU
rnacentral:rRNA from 1 species